GUGCUUGCUUCAGCAGCACAUAUACUAAAAUUGGAACGAUGCAGAGAAGAUUAGCAUGGCCCCUGUGCAAAGAUGACACGCAAAUUCGUGAAGCAUUCCAUAUAAAA
rnacentral:snRNA from 1 species